AUUAAUAACAGCAUUGCCACUCCUAUGUAUCUCGCUCUGUUCUCUGCUUCUCUGCCGCUCCAUACACUCUGUAGGCGACCUUUUCGAUCCUUUAUUCGCUUCGUCUCUUUCAUAUCAGUUUUAGAUCUCUAUAAUGGGUAAGGAGAAGGUUCAUAUCAACAUUGUGGUCAUUGGCCAUGUUGACUCUGGCAAGUCUACCACCACUGGCCAUCUCAUCUACAAGCUCGGAGGUAUUGACAAGCGAG
rnacentral:misc_RNA from 1 species